rnacentral:rRNA from 2 species
UACGUAGGGUGCAAGCGUUAAUCGGAAUUACUGGGCGUAAAGCGUGCGCAGGCGGUUAUAUAAGUCAGAUGUGAAAUCCCCGGGCUCAACCUGGGAACUGCAUUUGAGACUGUAUGGCUAGAGUGUGUCAGAGGGGGGUAGAAUUCCACGUGUAGCAGUGAAAUGCGUAGAUAUGUGGAGGAAUACCGAUGGCGAAGGCAGCCCCCUGGGAUAACACUGACGCUCAUGCACGAAAGCGUGGGGAGCAAACAGG